UAUGGUGUAGCUUAGUGGCAAGGCACUUGCCUAGCAUGCAAAUGGCCCUGGGUUCUAAUCCCACCUCAACAA
rnacentral:tRNA from 1 species